GGCUUAGGAGUGAACGACUGGCGGCGUGCCGUAACACAUGCAAGUCGAGCGAGUUACUUCGGUAAGAGCGGCGGACGGGUGAGUAACGCGUGGGUAACCUGCCUCAUACACAUGGAUAACAUACCGAAAGGUAUGCUAAUACAGGAUAAUAUAAGAGAUUCACAUGGAUUUCUUAUCAAAGCUCCGGCGGUAUGAGAUGGACCCGCGUCUGAUUAGCUAGUUGGUAAGGUAAUGGCUUACCAAGGCGACGAUCAGUAGCCGACCUGAGAGGGUGAUCGGCCACAUUGGAACUGAGACACGGUCCAAACUCCUACGGGAGGCAGCAGUGGGGAAUAUUGCACAAUGGGCGAAAGCCUGAUGCAGCAACGCCGCGUGAGUGAUGAAGGCCUUCGGGUCGUAAAACUCUGUCCUCAAGGAAGAUAAUGACGGUACUUGAGGAGGAAGCCCCGGCUAACUACGUGCCAGCCGCCGC
rnacentral:rRNA from 1 species